GAUCCUUCCUUUGUGGAAUUUUCUAUGUGAGCCAAGAUAUUCGGAGAUCUCUCCCUACUUAUGUGAGAUUCCAGCAAAAGCAAAUCUCCAGGGCUAGAUGGGUAUGAAGAUGUCCAUUUCAGUAAAGCCUUAAAGCAGUUGAAAGCAGGAUGUAAGCUGGACUCCAUCAGGCCCCAUCUUCACUGAAGGAUAGGAAAUAUGGAUGUGAAAACAGAGAUUAUAAGAUAAUGAAGGUCUUGACUGGCUUGCAAGUCUGAUUGGCAACCAAGAAAGAUAUGAGAACCCUGAAGGGCUGUAAGAUGGGUCUUCAAUAGCAGAAAUAACAAGCAGAAACAACAACAAGAUUUGGUGACUCUGCAAAUGGAUCAUUUGGUCUUGAGAUACCAGAGAUCUAUGUGAUGUAAAUUGCUGAGAAGUAUCCUUGAAGAAAAUCUUGGGUUUAGGCAGAAAGUUUUCAUAAAACUACCUUUUCAGCUUCUUCUCUUAUUCUGUAACUGUAUGUAUGGAGACCGCUUCUUAGCAGCCUACUCUGAAGAUCACAGGUUGCUGUGAGGAGAGAGUGAAAGUUAUUUAUCAAGAACCUUUAAUUGUGGUCAUCAGUUUUCAUUAUCUUCUGAGAAAAUUACCACGCUGAAUAUAAGGUUUGGGAAGCACCAGCAUUUUCUUUGUACGUGGAAGAUGACAAAAAAUGGAAUUGCUUUAGAAUUACAUUGGUUGGUUACAUGUUUUUCUCAAAUGCUACCUUUUCUUAAUUCUCUGGGUGUUUGCAAAAAGAAAUGCGUACUUGUUUUAUUGUCAACCUACAUCUGGAUCUUUUUUCUUUUUCCUUUUUUUAAUAGAUUCUCCAAAUCAAUUUUCUUCAAGCUUUUCUCAGGAUGUGAAUAAGAGUAAAACUCUAAAUUGCUUUUCAUUUAUAUUGACAUCUUCUUUUCUCUCUCAAUGGGUGCGCUUCAGUCUCUGAAUCUAAUCUCCAGGAUUUUCAUUUGCUCUACACUUCAUUACAAAUGCUGUUCUGGUAGCCUCUGUAUUGUUUUGGAACAAGCCAAAAGUUCCUCACAAUAAUAUAAAUCACAGGGAGGUUUUCCUUGAUUUCUGAAGGCUGAUUAUCAAAACAUUAUCAGUCAACCCCAUGUCUGUAAGAUGCUUAUUUGAUUAUUUAAAGGAUACAGAAAAACAAGAAUUUUUUGAGUCGCUUUAUUCACGCUAGAUACACUCUUCAGUGAGCCAUUUUUCUUUCAAAGCUCUUACAUGCUAUCCAGAGUGUCUUUUCUGAGCCUGGGCACUGCUUUUUCUUAGUUAUGUUUACAUUUUUUUAUGGUAUUAGUAUGAAACUUGUAAUUUCUGCUUUCCUUGGAUGUAGGAAGCAAAAAAGAAAACAAAGAACAAACAAACAAAACCCCAAAAAACUAUAUUAUUUUUAUUGUUCCUCCCAUUAAAUUUAUUGUUUUAACAAGUGAGUGAUUAAUUUCAAUUUCAUAGCUAAUCCAAUUUUGACCUCAGUGCAUUAUUUGCUGAUAUGUAGUGUGAUAUAUUUUAGGAAUGUUGAUAUAUAAAAGUUGGUUUGGAUGAACUGUCCUUACAGUCCAGCAUCCUAACAGAGAUGUUUUUAUUCCUUAAAAAUCAAAGAUACAAGAAUAUUUGCUGGACAAUUAUGACAAAUCUUGCCUGCAGGAAGAAGUUUAUCUUCAUUAGUUUGUAAAAUAGCGUGUGACCAAAGACAUAGUGAUGCAUGGUUUUGCAUGUGACUUCAUUAUGUUAUAUAGUCCUAUUAUAUUAUUUUAUACUCAUCUGUUUCCCAAACUAGACAAUCUCAGUCUUAGCAAUCUCUCAUCCCAGAAAUUGUGCCAUGCUCCCUUUUUCAUCACAUUAUUCUACAUCUUCCUUAUCUCUUUUUCAAAUAGAUUGCCCAUGAUUGAGCGCAUAUUGCACCUGGGGGCACAUCACUGAUAUUAUAACACUUUCUGAAAGACAGCCUGUUCCACGAUAAUAUCUUAUUCGUUGCUUUGCUAUUUUUUUGACCACUGAACUAUGGAUCUUAAUUCCAUGGCAUUAGGAAAACAGAACCCACCCUCACUUGUUCAAAUGGAGGCUUAGGAACUACUGUAUCAUCUUACAGAGAAUUCAACAUUUACUCUGUGAUUGUAUUGCCUGUUUGACUCCGUAGCAUUCCUUGUCCUUUCCUUUACCUUAGGAUUAAUAAUAUUUUGCAACGUGCUGCUUUGUUCUUCAUUUCAGAAGUACAUGUCAUUAAUAUAAAAUAGCACCUGUUUCCAAACUGUUUGUUAAAGGAGAUGGUCAGUGUGGGCAGCAUUACCACAGGAAUUUGUGAUUCAACAUUGCCCAUCCUAAAUUGACUUUGCAUUGAGCAGUUCAGGUGUGAAAACCAUAUUCUACCCAGACACACAGCAGCUCGCCAGAACCUGUUAACCUGGUGAAGCACUUGUAUGCCUGGGGCAAUUGCCUGGAGAUGUCUGAAGGUGUAGAUGACAGUGUCAGCCAGAGCAUCUGCUUUUCAUGUUGCUGUGAGAAGGGACUGCUGGCAUGCUGACAACCCAGGAAGGACAGCAUUCUUUUUUAUUUCUUUUAGUUCAGUGUCUGAUAUGACAUAUCCACUUUGAUUCGUAACUUUUCAAUGCUGCUACAAAGCAUGUUCUGUCUCUUCUAUCACUUCAAUCACUUUUUGAGUGUGAAAACAAUCAAUUUUUAAUGAAAGUAAACAUUUUUGUUUUGCAAGAAAAUGUAAGAGCAAAAUUAUUUAUUCCCAUGCUUCUUAAAAGAAAAUUCUGUGUGUGUUUCUUUAUAUGUGUAAGAAUUCCAGUGUUUGCCUUAUUCAUCUUAAUUUUUGUUUCAAAGAAGUAAAAUCAUGCUAUUUUUUUAGGGACUAUAUAUGUUAAGGUUUUUGCAAUGCUGCAAUGAAUGCUGUUAACAAAAGCCAACAAUGGUCUGAGUUUCUAGGAAAUGUAUUUUCAUCUCCAUGCGUGGUUGCUCAAUACUAGGUAUUUUCCACUUGUUACUACUAUUCAUCCUAAAGAUAGUUCUGUUAGUUUUGACAUCUCAUUCUUGUAAGUGCAAUUCUGAGUCAAUGGGUCUUAACAUCCUAUGGAAUGAUAUGGAGCGGUUUGACAUACUUGCCGAUUUCUGCAGUCAAGCUUAAGAGACACCCUUCAGUCAUGCAUUUUCUUGGAUGUCAGAAAUGAACACCUAGCUUUGACAUCCAUGUCUGUGAAAGAAGAGAACAGUUUGCACUGGCUCACAGAACUAAAAUUCUGCCUUUGUGUUUAGUGGAUUUCAUUUACAGACACUGUUUGUCAUGCUGAAAGAUCUCAAUUCUAAAUUCCUCAAAAGGAGUAGAGUAGGUAAUUUUGCUUUGUAGAUCAAGGGUAAAAAAAUAAAGAAAAAAAAAUCUAUAUCAAGAA